GGGCGUGUGGCGUAGUUGGUAGCGCGUCUGCCUUGCAAGCAGAAGGUCAUGAGUUCGACUCUCAUCUCGUCCA
rfam:Candida parapsilosis strain CDC317 annotated contig 005504